ACAGUGAAGCUCUACCACAUGCCCUGCCACAGCCUGGGCCCCAGGGGUCCUGAAGUUCUGAAAGUUCAAGAUUGAGGAGUUGCAUCUGGGGAAUGCUUUCUUGCUGGUGGACACCCAAGACACUACAAGGCAUCACCGGGAAGAAAAUUAUCAAGAAGCAGUGAUGAAUCAAGUUAAGACACAGAAGACGAGCCCUAGCAAGGCCAGAAUAACUGAAAGAAAAUA